rnacentral:rRNA from 1 species
UGCGUAGGGUGCGAGCGUUGUCCGGAAUUAUUGGGCGUAAAGAGCUCGUAGGCGGUUUGUCGCGUCUGCCGUGAAAGUCCGGGGCUCAACCCCGGAUCUGCGGUGGGUACGGGCAGACUUGAGUGCAGUAGGGGAGACGUGGAAUUCCUGGUGUAGCGGUGAAAUGCGCAGAUAUCAGGAGGAACACCGAUGGCGAAGGCAGGUCUCUGGGCUGUAACUGACGCUGAGGAGCGAAAGCAUGGGGAGCGAACAGG